UUGUGAGUUACAACGCAAAUGCACCACGUCAAUUAACGCAACUUGACCGUUGGCUUCAGAAACUUGUAAUCGCCGAUAGAAUUCAUUCUUUCUGCAAAUAAAGAAGAGGAUUGAGGGGAAAAUGGCCAGUCAAGAGCAAAUUCCGACUCGAGCACGUUCAAGAUCAAGAGGCAGGGCACGUGGCCAGGAUCCUGUUGCACCAGGGACUCGGGCACGAGAACCUGCACCGGAAGUUGCAGCAAAAGAAGAAGGUGGGAUUGUUGGUCGAGGGAGGCAGAAAAAAAGUAUGGCACCAUUUUCUGGACAAGAUGUUAUGGAGAUCUCAGCUGGAUUUCAUCAGGUGAAGAUAGGAGAGAGAGGUGGACGCAGAAGAGAUUUCUAUGAUGUCGGUAUUAACACCAGGGAGACGAUGGAGCAUGUCAAAGGCUCAAAGUCUGGUAUGUGCCGAUUUGAAAAGCUCA